rnacentral:rRNA from 1 species
AUUGAACGCUGGCGGCAGGCCUAACACAUGCAAGUCGAGCGGAUGAAGGGAGCUUGCUCCUGGAUUCAGCGGCGGACGGGUGAGUAAUGCCUAGGAAUCUGCCUGGUAGUGGGGGAUAACGUCCGGAAACGGGCGCUAAUACCGCAUACGUCCUGAGGGAGGAAGUGGGGGAUCUUCGGACCUCACGCUAUCAGAUGAGCCUAGGUCGGAUUAGCUAGUUGGUGGGGUAAAGGCCUACCAAGGCGACGAUCCGUAACUGGUCUGAGAGGAUGAUCAGUCACACUGGAACUGAGACACGGUCCAGACUCCUACGGGAGGCAGCAGUGGGGAAUAUUGGACAAUGGGCGAAAGCCUGAUCCAGCCAUGCCGCGUGUGUGAAGAAGGUCUUCGGAUUGUAAAGCACUUUAAGUUGGGAGGAAGGGCAGUAAGUUAAUACCUUGCUGUUUUGACGUUACCAACAGAAUAAGCACCGGCUAACUUAGUG